rnacentral:rRNA from 1 species
GACGAACGCUGGCGGCGUGCUUAACACAUGCAAGUCGAACGAGAGCGUAGAGAAAGCUUGCUUUUUCUACAAUCUAGUGGCAAACGGGUGAGUAACGCGUAAACAACCUGCCCUACGGAUGGGGACAACAGCUGGAAACGGCUGCUAAUACCGAAUACGUUCCGAAAGUCGCAUGACUAUCGGAAGAAAGGAUGGCCUCUAUUUAUAAGCUAUCGCCGGAGGCGGGGUUUGCGUCUGAUUAGCUAGUUGGAGGGGUAACGGCCCACCAAGGCGACGAUCAGUAGCCGGUCUGAGAGGAUGAACGGCCAAAUUGGAACUGGGACACGGUCCAGACUCCUACGGGAGGCAGCAGUGGGGAAUCUUCCGCAAUGGGCGAAAGCCUGACGGAGCAACGCCGCGUGAGUGAAGACGGCCUUCGGGUUGUAAAGCUCUGUUAUACGGGACGAAUAAUCUUGUGGUUAAUACCCAUGAGAAGUGACGGUACCGUAAGAGAAAGCCACGGCUAACUACGUG